UUUAGCGUGUGCACUGCUGUAAGUGUGUGAACUCUGCCCUUUUUCUCUCUCAUUCCAGCCAGUGAAGCUAUGCAACCAAUCUUGCUCGGACCCAACAUAAACUCUAAAAAGGACAGUUGCUGUGAGUUCACCUGGUCUCACAUAACAGUCACACAGAGGCAGGGGGCGGACGGCGGCCUGGAAGAUGGUCAUCAGACAGCCCUGCACCGGGCAGCUGUUGUGGGAAACCGUGACGCUAUCUCUGCCCUCAUCCAUGGAAGCUGUGCACUUGAUU